rnacentral:tRNA from 1 species
GCUACGAUAGUUUAUAACAAAACAUUAGCCUGUGAAGCUAAAAAUGGAACUACACAACCCACAUCCCCGCAGCU